rnacentral:lncRNA from 1 species
GUGUAUUCUUUAUUGUAAGGGUUCUGUUUCUCUCUCUCCCCACCCACAACCAUCCCCACCCUCGUCCUCUCAUAUGCUCACUUGGCCUCUGCCUUCCACCAUAUGGUGAUGCAGCAAGAAGACCAAAUGUGGAAUCUUGGACCAGGUCUGUGAGACAGAUUAACUUUUAUUGUUUAUAAAUUAUCCAAUGUAUGAUAUUCUAUUAAAAUAGUACAAAAUGGAUUAAGAUGUGUCCUAAAGUGCUAACUUGGACCUGGAUUUAUCAUUCCCUGGCAGAUGAAGAGAAUGCCAUCAGAAGUGGUGUGGAGGCUACAGAUAAUCCCUUGCUCCAGAUUUUGCAGGUGGUGACCUUGAAAAUUGUCCAGGAAGAAGAGGACCUGGGAGAAGCUUCUCUUGGUGCCUAGUGCCAUUGUUGUCACUGAAAACUCUGCUGAUGUCAAUGUGCUGUCCUCCAGGAACACUGGCCAGAGGGCUGUACAUAUGUUUGCUGCUGCCACUGGAGCUACUCCUAUUGCUGGCCACUUCACACCUGGAACUUUCACUAACCAGAUCCAGGCAGCUUUCCAGGAUCCAUGCAUUCUAUUGAUUACUGAUUCCAGGGCUGAUCACCA